GGCUGCGCAUACCGCGAAGCAAGCGAGAGAGAGAGAGAAACGAAGAGAAGCGCGUGCGUAAGCGAAAUGAGUUUACGUUUUCACGUGCAUGCGUGCAUGCGAUUACGGACGAGUACGAGCGAAUGACGUCACAAAUUUGCGUAUUACUACGCGGAAUGGUCGGAGAGAACGCCGAGGCGCGGUAAUUUUGAAUCGGCGGAAAUUCGUGAGAUUUAACGUCAAAUUUCGGGUUACGGAAGGAUUUGCUCGUUUGGCACGCAUUUUCGAUGAGAAAAUGAUUUUCUCGCCAGCUCGUAGGAGCCGUGUCGUUCGAACGGCCCUACGAGCUCGAUUGCGUCGGCUACGUAGGCGGAAAAUAAGUUUUUAUCGAUCACUAACCUACGACAACCAUCUGGCCCGGCCUGGCCCUCGACUAACCGUGGCACGCGUAACAGGGGUGGAGCUCGAUUCCAAAGUCUCCCGAGAACGCUAGCCAACGACGAUGACGAGGAAGACGAACGGGGAGAAUAGAAUCGUCGCUUCACGGCUGGUCAUCUCCCUGGAGAUUCGUCGGAAUGAUUUAACGGCAAGACGUUAAUUAACGGCAAGUCCCUCGUCACUGACCUUGCUACUCUUUGUGGAAGGAGCCAUAUUAUAGCGUCGACUAUACGUCUGGGACCUACCCCAAUCAAAUCGAGACUAAACUUCUUCCCUCUCCCAUGGCAGAGCUCGCUCUAAUCGCCCUUAGUCACGCUAGGAGGAAUUGUAGGAAGAGAGCGAAUGGAAAGCGGAAAGGACGGAUAGAGUCGCGCGAUAUCAACGAUUAAAACUCCUCGGAGUGAAUUCAACCGAUUUGCCGGUGGCGUCAACUCGAUCGUCGAUUCGAAGCAUCGCGAGAACGCCACUCGAGUCUCCGGAAGCGCGAAGCGUCGGCUGCCUGGCGAACGAACGAACGGAUGGUUGGACGGAUGGAUAGGAUACGCAGGGACAGGUGGCUCUUCGACGAUCCUAAGUGGGCAGGAAGGACACCCGGGCUCUGACGAGGGGCGAGAGACAGACGGAUGGACUAGCUUGUUCGCUUACAAGUCAGAGAGAGGGAGAGGGAGAGAGAGAGAGAGAGAGAGAGGGUACAGUUUCGUGUUCGCCCGAUGCGUGCAAUGCAAUUUCCCGCAGGGCCGUCUGUCCGCUUGUGCGGUCGUGCAUGCCACUUACGCCAUUGUUCCUCCCCCUUUUCGCAUACGAAAGUGAACAUUCCCGAGAUCCGGGAGGAAUAUAACGCGAGCGAGCUGCUGACCCCUUGUCUCAAGGCGUAACACCUCGUCUACGAGAUGUAACCGAAUAAUGCUUUCUCUCUUUCUCUCUCCCUCUCUCGCGCGAUGAAUAGUAUUGAACAUCAGCAUUAACAUAUAAUUACUCGAAUCUUCGCUAUUUUUCAUUUCAUCUAGUUGAUCAGUUGGCGCUCCGAGAAGAUCAUUUAACGCACGGUUUAUCCUACAGCAGGAUGUACAUCUAGAAGAUGAAUAUCUUUUGGUCGAGCAAGCUCUCGGAAUGCGAGAGAAGAAAGGAAGGAAGACGUCUAGGGAUCGAUUCGAGCAAGCGGAAAACUAUGCGACUGGAGAAUAAUUUAUGCGAUAUUUUCCCGCAAAGCGGUAUUGUUACCGUGCGAGGGCACGAAUUGGAAACGUUCCACUUGGAUUGGUUCCAUCGGUUCGAGAUAGGACGGAUCAUCCAAGAGUUUUCGCGCGUUUUCGUUAUCUUGUAGCCGAAUCCAGGACUCGCUUUUUUUUUUUUUUUUUUUAAUUAUUUCUUUCGUCAAACCCGAAGAGUGAUUUCGAAAAAUUGAAAAAAGAGUAGCUCCGUUGUUGUACGCUUUCGACGCCUCGAGGGGCAACGUUAACACUUGGAAUUCGUUCAUUGUUCGAUUCUCGAUACGGUGAAUAAAGUUGCAUUCUGAAGGGCCAUCGUCGUGCCUCAAAAACGAAGGGGUCCGCGAGUCGUAGAGCUCUGUCGUCGAGAGUAAAGCUGCCGAGGGGCAGAAGGGAGUGAACCUCGCCGAGCGUAGGAAGGGGAAGCAGCGAAGAGUCGUGACGUCAGCCCUCUUGUCUAAUCGUUCAGCCGUCUGUCCGACGACGGCGGCGACGCCGACGACGACGGUGACGAUCGACGGUGACGGUCGACGGUGACGGUCGACGGCCGUCAGACGUUGUAUCAAAGAGAGUGCACGCAGACUUCGACGUUACGUUUCAAUGUCAUGGUUGCGUCGACUCGAAUCGACCCACCAUCCAUCCCACUGCGUAAACUUUCAUCUCUAUUCAUUCGUGUCAGGAAUGAAAAUUGAAAGGUUAAAAGGUGAGUAGAGAAAGGGAUCGAAAGGUCGGACUCUCGUCCAGCGGUCGGCGACGAGUAUAUAGCUUAAUGCGAUCGUCUAGGAGAAAACGGGCGUAACGCGCUCGUUCGGCGUUUCAAGGGGUCUCCGUUACCGGAGCCGCCGUCGUCUGGAGUGCCGACGAGUUUCAGGAGACGCAAUUGGGGGUGUGCGAGGGAAGCAGGGAAGGAGAGAAGGGCGGAUAGGCGAAUGCUGGCUUCGUAGGGCUGGAGACGAGGAAGAGAGGGAGGAGGAGUAGGAGACGAGACGAGACGGGAGGAAAAGGAAGAGUAGUAGGAGGAAGGGUGAAAGGAGAGAUGAAAACGGUAGCUGGGCUGGGAGAGGGGUGGAAGGGGUGUCGUUUCGGUCCUGCACUGGUAGAGGGUGCGGUGCCGAAGGGAGCAGACGCGAUACUACGCUGCUGGAGAUUCCUAGAGGUUUGAGGUUUCGCGGCCUUUAUCCCGACGUCUCCUUUUCUCGUCUUCUUCUCGUCUUCCUGCUCUUACCCAGGCAAUCCAAAUAUCGAUGCAGGAAGGGAAAGUAAUUUUGAAGGAUAACGAAAUACGAUCUAAAGACAAUGCUCAGCUUUCUACUUGCGCCUCGAUACCGAGACAUAUUCAUAGAUCACUCGUUGCCAAUUAAGAUUUCAAAGCCCUCUCCCAUCGUUUUUAUCGGCAACUCGUAAAUUCAUCGAGGAAUAUCAGCGGUCUCGUAAAUCUCCGAGGAAAGAGAAAUGGCGGCGGAAAUCCAUGAGAAUUUUCUCCUCUUUACGAAUGCAGAAAAGUUCCGUCCUUGGAAAAGUCCCCGACGUAAUCGGCCAUGGAAUAGGUCGGAGGCGAGAGGGAGACGAGGGAUGUUACGCUCGCGAACCAAAAAGCGUUUUAAUUCCCUGGACGCUUAAUUCCGUGCGUACGAAUGGCACGCGUGAAUAUGCAUGACCCGACCGGCUUGGCCAGCCGAGCUAGCCAGACGAGCUAGCCAGCCAGCCAGCCAGCCAACGUCGUAACUCCGUACGAACGAAGAACGAAGUCAGGCCAGGAGGUACCGUCGCUUUCGCCGAUUUUAUUUUGUUUCCCAACUUUUUCGUCGAAACCACGGGAACCUAUUAAAAUGCCGUUCGCCAUGACCGCGCCCGUCUGCCGCCUGCGUUAUCCGUUCCUUCCUCUUCCUUCUCCCUUCUAGCCCUCACCUAUCUUCCCCCCUUUUUUUAUCUUUCCUCCCACGUAUUCUACCAGUUUCUCUCAUUGCGUUACCGUGGAAAACUUUUCCACCCCCGAGCCACCCCUUUAUCGCGCUCGACUCGCUUCGAAAAUGAAAUCACGCCCAGGUCGCGUCUACGAUUCUCCCGUCAUUUUCAACAUUUUUCAUUUUUUCACCUCGUUCUUAUAACGUUCCUUAUCAUUUCCAUUUUACUCCGUUGCAAAAACAAGGGUCGUUCACGCGGAUAACGACGAUGACAAUGGCGCGGAGCUUCGCGUGCCUACGUUGGAUUGAAGAAUUCAAAUGCGAAUGUGGAAAGAGAAACGAGCUACAAAUUACGAUCUCGUCCGUACCUACCAAGAAGCUUUUAUCGUAGCACGAACGAACGAAAGAACAAGCGAGAGACUGUCUCUUUCUCUUUCUUUGGUACGUUUUACGAGACAAAGCACCCGCGUUUCUAUCGUGUUUCUUACGAUUCCGUUAUUCCUUCCCGUACGAAUUCUCGUUAAAAUCCGUCCAGAAGGUAAAAACUUGCCUCGUAAAAACGUUAAGUGUCUUACAGUGUCUCGCAGUUAGCAACGAUGGAAAGUAUAUACGAAGUGAGGAAUCUAAACUCGUUCGGGGACUCGUGGAAAAACGGAAACUGUCAAUCAAAAGACACAGGUGGAGAAUCGUGUAACGAAAUAGAAAGGAUUGGUCUCGUAUCGAAUCAGUACGUAGGUGAAUCACGUCUUUGCAUAACGCCGAAGUAAAACUCUCGAGAUAUAGGUGUUUGAGUUUGCGAGAGGAGAAACGCUUCGGCGUUUCUCACGUCGGCUCGGCGUGUCUCGACGGUGCGAACAACGCGUACACUUUACACCAUCUUCAGAGGGGGUGAAAGGAGGUGAGAGAAAGAGAGAGAAGAGAAGGAGAAGGAAGAGAUGCAAAGCGGUUGGUCGGAGUCGAAGGAAAGCGUAGAAAGACGUUGUUGACGAGACGAUAUAUCCAAAGGUAGCAGCAGCCGGUGUUGACAAAACACCGAGACGUCGAUAUGUGUACCCGCGGAAGACGCUUCGUAGCAGUCGAUGACACAGCCAGCGAGCAGACGGUCUGACCUGGAUGCCUUGUUUGCUUCGCUACCAUCGGCUCGACCCGUCUGCACGCUCUUCUCUCUCUCUCUCUCUCUCUCUCUUAAACGUGUACACACGUACAGGUCCCUACAUGCAUUCGCACACAGUCGCGCCUACACUCCAUAUAUCCAGACUCGAUACUGCAACGUGCGUGCCAUGAGGUUUUGUCGCAACCUCGAGCACGUGUAUACUCGCACUUUGUGUAAGUGUGUUUGCUCGUGUUUCGUGUGUACCACAAAGCUUGCAGAAAGAGAUAGAGGUAUUCGUAGUGUAAAGUCUAGGCUUUUCCUUCGCGCUGCUUGGUAAAUAAAAGACACAGGGUCGGUAGCUUCUUUGAAAUUCCUUCGCUUUUUUUUGUUUUUUUUUUUUGCAAAACUUUACGUUUUAUGUGAUUUUUUCAAAGAUCAAUCUUAAUCGUUCCUUGGUCAAGUUGGAUUAAGUAUACCGAUCUGUUAUACUUUUUCUAACGCAUCUCUAAAUAAGAGUAAUGGACCACGAGCAGUUACGUCUCACAGUAGGAGCUCGAAGGAAAUGGUGAUUCAUUUCGUGAUACCCCACGACGAGAGAAAUGUCCCUGGAAGGGAGCUGCCGUUUCUACGUAAUUUGCAGUGAAAGAGACACUCGCCGUCUCCGCGUUUCUCUCCUCGUAAAAAGUUUCUUCUUCGAGAUUGGGUCGUGAGAUGAGUACUCGCGACGAUAUACCGCUGCGUCUACUCGGCUUUUCGCUCGUUAAAAGGAGAAGAGGUAUUCGAAUGUAGGUAGAAAUGUUGAAUACCUAAAUAGAAAUUGACUAAUUAGACGUGUUAAUAAAACGUCUUGCAGUCUUGCUUUUGAAAAUUGUGGCAACGUUUUAAUCGAGUAUUUCGAUGCUUGAACGCUUUAUGACGAUCAUAAAUUCGACUAUCGAAAAAAAUAAAUAAAAAUUCCAAUUUUUUUCAGCGACAAAAACAAGUCAUAAUCCGUUACAUUUUUAUAAACGUAUUAAUAACUCGUCGACUCGACGACGACCCAUAUCCGUGUCGAUCAAGAGACUAAAUGAACGAGUCAUUUCGUUCAUUGUCACGAAGCAGAUGUUCGAAAGGAUCUCUCUUUUUGUACCCAAUUAUUUACGAUUGCGAUUUGGUAAUUUUUUUGUUCGUCGGAGAAGAAAAGAAAAGAGAAAGCAACGAGAGACGUCGAGGUAACGCGUGGGCGAUAGAUAACCGUUAGAAGCAUCGUAAUAGGCGGAUGAGUUAAUUAGAGGGAUUUAAGAGCCGAGAAGCACACCGGUAUUACGUGCCGAUCAAAAUGAAUCGCUGUCUCAAAAUGUCGCCGAUAAUCUCCGAUGCAUCAACGACAAUAGCAACAAAGUGCUUUUGUCUUAAAUCGAGGAAUUCCAAGUGCAGCAGUUGAUGAUUAAAUCAAAGUAUCAUCGCGGCGCCAGUUAAUUAAUUAGAAAUUUGCUUAAUUAAGUGAUUUAGUAGGCCGAAUACCGUAGCAAUUAGCACGUGUACCCGCCGGCGUCUGAGAGGAGCGCCGAGUAAACAGAGGCAAGACUAGAGAAGGAGCCUUGGGAAGAGGCAAAGAAAACACAGACUGGUGUUAUUUCUUACCUAAUCAAAACGAACUUGAAGAUUGGAAAUAUAUUUCCCUCUCUCUCCUUCGAGUCCUCUUAUUUGUAUCCCGUCUGAAGCCUUAAGAGAUUUCUCUGAAAUAUUCCAAAGCCCUGGUUACGCGUAUCAAAGGAAUCCUCGCGCUCAUUACACAUACUUUCCCCUUUCCGCUUUGAAACAUAUAAAGCGAGCUUGCGGAGUUGUAAAAGAGGUGCUUAAAUCCGGUGACUUUCUUCGUUGAAGGAAGAGAAAGAAAAAAAAAAAGAAGGAGAGAACGUCUACAGCGUACGCCAGGUCUUCUUAGAGCGUACACAAACACAUACAUGGAAUAUAUCGAAGAUGGCGUCUAGCUAGACUAGACGAAAGAAAAAUACGAAAAAGAACGGACUAGACGAAGGCUAGACUUAUCUCCUAUAGACAAACGCGCGUGUACACACGGGAUCGAAUUUUUGCGUUCUCUUUAAACCCAAUCGCGGAGAACGAAUCGAGUACCAUAGAAAACGAACGUGGAAAACGAACGGCGAACAAUAUUUCCUAGCACCGUCGCGCCGGUCGCCGAUAAAUACAGACUUCGCGCAUAGCGGCGCCCUACCGGUUUUGCGGUAUCUCGAACGGCUUAAUGGCACUGUUAACUGCCGUAUUAUUUAACGGGGAUUUAUGCAUUGCAGUCUGCCGAUUAAAACACUACGGUGGUUAGGGGGAGGGGUAGGGGGAGCGUGGUAGAGGACCGAGCGAAAGGGUGGCGAUGAGGUUUGGGUGCUGUGAGUGGAAGUGAGAUAGAGAUAUAGAGGAAAGCAGAGAGAGAGAGGGAGAGAGAGAAGUGGUGGCGACUAGAGCCGACAAGGACGAGAGGGUUGGCGGAGUGCACGAUACCCUUAAUCCUUCAUAAUAGCUUGCUCUGAUAAACAGUCCACCCUUUCACCCUUCUCGUCUUUCUCACCACUACUGGAAACUCGGGACUCGUAAAAAUCCUCAAACCGAUUAUAUAC